rnacentral:misc_RNA from 1 species
GGAGUUUUUGCGGAACUCAGUGGAUACAACUGACUCGAUUUGCCUCCUUUCUUCAGCAGGCUUGGAGCGGGCUGCUCUUAAGAAUCCUCUAUAUAGAGCAAGUGCUUGCUUCUGCAUACCAGAUAGCCGCUUUGGUCCACUGGAAGCUCCCAUUGCAUCUUCAGGACGAGCAGGGACAGAUACCCGAUUAAACACUUGCGGAUUCCUUUGUGUAUUGCGCCGUCGUUGAGGUAGAAAUUCC